CUGGAGAGAGGAGAUUUUCUGUCUGAAGAAUGGAAAGAAAGGAUCGCCACCACAAGUAUUAUUUUUGUGAAUAAUUUUGCCUUUGGUCCAGAGGUAGAUCAUCAUCUUAAGGAACGUUUUGCGAACAUGAAGGAAGGUUCGUAUGCAACUGAGAGAUUACGUCAAGAAAACCCAUAGCUUAUUAGCAUAUUUUUACAAAUUCUGGCUUUCCCUUUCAUGCAUCAUCCAUCACAAAAUGCCCUCGGAAAUACCUUAAUUCGACUCAUUCUCCUCAUAUUUAGAACAUUAAAUGUCUUUUUGGAGUGUGUUUAUUGCUGUCAUCAUGAAGUCCACUGUCUGUCUUGCACCACACAUUUAAAUUCAUUUGAAUUUUACUUUUCAGUUGGGAAGAUUGUAUCUUCCAAACCAUUUGCACCUUUAAACUUUCGAAUUAACAGCCGAAACUUGAGUGGUAUAGGCACAAUAAUGCGUGUGGUAGAGCUCUCGCCACUGAGGGGUUCCGUGUCCUGGACUGGAAAGCCAGUCUCCUACUAUCUGCACACCAUAGACUGCACCAUAGUAAGGAGAACUACUCUACACCUUGAAGAGAAUUCAUAUUCAGUCAAUAUCCUUUCCACCUUCAAGAACUUCUGGCAAAUAUGACAUUUCCUCUUUCAAAUUGUGUCACUAAAGCCAAUGUGUAGCGAACUCUCCAGACAUGCUUCUUAUUUCAAUGCCUGGUCAAUUUAGAAGGAAAUAUAUGCUGACAUAUCUCAAACUGAUGAUUGAUUAUUCCUUUGGGUUGGCAUUCAGAGACAAAACAGUCAGCAAUUAUUUGGCAGCUGAUUCUUUGCUCAACAUCUUCACUUAUGGCUCCUCCUCAAGCAUUUUUAUUUUGGCGUAACUUGUUUUUUGUUUGUUUCUGUGUGCCCGGUUUACAUCUUGAAAACUACUU